AAUGGCUUCAGGUCUAGUCAAAGAGAUAUAAACAUAAGUGCUGCAUGAGAUCUCCAGGAAGGUCUCUUAAGAGAGAAGGGAUGGACUUUAAGUUUCUCCUUUCCUUCUGUGCAGCACAUUGGAUGUGAUUGUUAGAACUCUACCAGCCAUCUUGAACCAUAGCAUGAUCUUGAAAAUGGAAGCCCACAUACUAAAGAUGGUGGUGAGGAAGAUUAGAACCUGGCUGUCUGAAGAUACUGUAAAGUUGGCCUGGCAUGCCAGUCAUGAAAAGUUAAAAGCACAAAAAGUAUUCCUGUCCAUACGUGGAGAAAAUAUGGGAACUAUGAAUAUGUACACUUCUCAUCUUGUUUUGCCUCUCCCAAGACCAAUUCUGAAUGGAAGUAAAACAGAAACUGAAAGGUACUAGCUACUGCAAUAAGUAAGAAAAAGAAAUAAAAGGCAUCUGGAUUGGGAAAGAAGAAAUAUAACAGCCUCCAUUCACAAAUAACAUGACAGUCUACAUUAAAAAUCCUAAGAAAUCUAUAAAACAGCUACUAGAACUGAUGGGUAAGUUUCAAAAGAUCACUGGGGACAAAGUCAAUAUAUAAAAAUCAAUUAUUUCAACAUACUGGCAAUAAAAAAUUAGAAACAAAUUAAAUAAAACAGUGCCUUUUACAAUAACAUUAAAAUAUGAAAUACUUUGUGAGAUAUCUAACAAAAUAUAUAUAAGAUUUGGCCGUUAAGAACUAUAGAACAAUUUUCAUAGAUUGGAAAAAUCAAUGCUGUUAAGUAGCUAAUUCUCUCCAAAAAUGUUCUGUAGAUUUGAAGUAAUCCCAGUUAAAAUACCAGCACACUUUUUCAUGGAAAAUCAAUAAAAAAGCUGAUUAUAAAGCCUGAAUGGGAAAACCAAAGAAAGAAUAGCACUCCCCACCAAAAAAUAGAAAAUAUCAAAAUUCAUGAGCCCAAUUUUGACAGUGAGACAAAGGGAAAAGACAAACAAAAAGAUCAAUGGAACAGACUAAAUGAACAGUCCAGAAAGAGACCCACACAUAUAUGGUAAAGAGACUUGCAACAAAGUUUCCAGUCAAUUCAAUAAAGAAAGUGAUAUUUUCAGUAAGUGUUAUUAGAAUAAUUGGACAGCUGUACACAAAUAAAACCUCAACCCAUAUAUCACAUCAUGAAUGAAAAAGGAUCACAGACUUAAAACUGUAACAUUUUGGGGGGGAAAAUGCAUAAGAAAAAAUCUUACUGUCCUUGGGUUAGGUGAAGAUUUCUUAAUGUAAUAAGCAGAAACCAUAGAAAAGUGAUACAUAGGACUUCAUCAAGAUCAAAUUUCUCUACUCUUUGAAAGACUUUGAAAAGGAAUGAAAAGACAAGCCAUAAGCUGAGAUAAAAUAUUUUCAGAGCACCUAUCUGAUAAAAAAGAAAAAAAAAACUUGCAUUCAGAAUAUAUAAAAAACUUUCACAACCAAAUAGGCAAACAAACAAGCAAAACAAGAUUUGAAUGCCUGAGAAGAUAAACGGACAGAAAAUAAGCUCAUGAAAAGAAACUCAGCAUCAUUAGUCAUGAGAGAACUGAAAAUUAAAUCUGCAAAGAGAUACCACUACAUAUUUAGGAUAGCUGUUUUUCUGUUUUUGUAAAGAAAAAAAAUCUGACAACACCAACUGCUAGCCAGUAUACAAAGCAACCAGAACUCUCAUAUAUUAUUG
ensembl:lncRNA